UACGUUCCAGCAGACUUAAUUAUCUCCAUCAAGAAUCGUUAUGUUCUGUUUUCAAUCAACUUUUAAGUAUUGCACAGAAAAAGUCAUAUAUGGCUGAGAUUUCGUAUUCCAUCAUAAUUGAUAGUUUGAGUAGAGCUGAGGGGAAAACUUUUACAAACUGUUUAAUACCUAUAAUAAGAGAAUCUUUUUCUGAAUCGUUUCUAAACUGGUCUCCUGAAAUAUUUGCUCUAGCAUUAGCUCUACAGGCAAAAUUAAAGGACAACGAGCUGAAGAUUAUUUUCGGCGAAGAUUUUUUAAUCUUCCAAAGAAAAAAAUGUUCCGCGAUGAAAACGAUUCUUCUCUCGUGUUGUGAAAUUGAUAAAUCUUUGCAUAUCGCUUGGCAGCAAGUUUUACUUUA